rnacentral:rRNA from 1 species
GUUUUACAAAACACGCUGUUUCACUGGCCCGCUGAAGUUAAAAUUCCCAUAAAAAUGUGGGGCUAGGAAUGGGGGACGAUAAGACCCUAUAAAUCUUGAUUUAACUAAAAUUAGAAAUAUGUGGUUUUAAAGACUUAGUUGGGGCAACUUAAAUAUAAUAUUCUAAUUGUUUAAUUACUGUACCCCUGAGGGAGAGUAGUUCCCCAUGAAGGAUAAAAAGGGUAGAUACUUUAGGGAUAACAGCGUAAUAAUCUCGGAGAGACCUUAUUUAUGAGAUUGUUUGCGA